ensembl:lncRNA
UUUAGAUAGCAUGAAAAAAUGGUCCGAUAAAAGUAGAUACCUAUACUUCGUUGAAAAACAAAAAAGAGGAGCGCGGUAGCAAGAAAGUUAGUAAAUUUAAAAAUAUAAAUUUGAAUAAUGCCCUUAUAAAAGAUAAAUACUUACAAGCCUCUUAUAAACAUGACCCUACUAGUGAACAAACAAAAAUUGAAAAUUUAGUUUUAGAUGUCUUAAAUAACAGUAUGUACAAAACGCAAACACACAUAUAUACAUAUACCUAGAACAUAUUGAAACAGUUUUAAUAAAUACAUAUAUACAUAUAUACAUAUAUAUAUUACAUUCAAUGCGUAUAAUUAUGUUAACUGUUUUUAGAUUUUGAUGAUGAUAUAGAAUCUAUCAAAGGUGAAAGAACCCUAACCGAAGAUCGCCUAGAGACAUCUGGUGUUCCAGAAACAAAUGUAAAAACCAGGAGAAAGGAUUUAAACAUUACAAAAAAACAUAAUAUACAGAAAAAACUAAAUACUGAACAAAAUAAUUUGUUUAUACUUGACUAUUUACAUUAUGAAAAUUAUUUUCAAGACGAAUAUUUAGACAUUUCUGUAACAUCAACAUCGGAUGAUUCUGAAGAUAGUAGUAGCGAAGCAAGUCCAUUAUUAAAAUAUGCGUCAAUAAAUAAUAUAAAUUUAGGAAUUAAAAAUAAUAGUAAUAUAAUUUCAAAUGAAUUUAAACAAUAUUCUAAUGAUAAUGACAUAAUAAAUAUUAUUCCCCAAAAUUUAAACCUAGACAUCUUUGUUAACAAAACAAAAAAAUACCAAUACGAUAAUUUUGUUGAUGUAAAAGUAAGUGCGAUUGUAUAUACGUGCGUAUGUAUAUAUAUAUAUAAUGCGUAAUUUAUGCUUAUGUAUCUCUCAUGUUUAUGCACUUAUAUCGUAAUGUUCACACUUUUAAUAUAUAUAUAUAUAUAUGCAUACAUAUGUAUAUGUGCACCCCUUCUUAAACGUUUAAGAUGAAUAUCCUUUUAAAAGUAGAACAGCUGCAGAAUAAUAAAAAAAAGAUAAAAGAAGAAACCGAGUUGUUGAAAAAGUAUCAAUACGUAGAUAACAUGUACUCACCUGGGUAUAGCACAAGAAUUAGCCAAAAAUUAAAAACAAUGCUGAACAAGCGUAAAGUUAAUAUCUAUGAAAUUAAGAAAAAAGAGAUGGUUAAAAAACGAAGAGAAGAUAUUAUAAGAGAAAAAAAAAUAAAAAAUGAGGAAGAAAUGUUAAAAAAAAUAAGAUUAGAACAGUUACCAUCUUCUGCAAAUAUUUCUAUUAAAGAAGAAGAGGAUGUAAAAAAAGAAGAAAUAAUAGAUACCCCACAAAAUUCUAAACAAAUUAUUGAAAAUAUAGAUAACGAAUUUAAUUUUGACAAUGAAGAUAUAACUAUUAGUGAAAAUGAAACAUCUGUAACUAACAGUUUUUUAUCUUAUGAACACAUUGAUAAUAGAAGCAUAAAUAAUCUCAUAAAAAAAUAUAAAGUUAUGCAAAAAAGUAAUAAUGUUGAUAAUAAAGAAUUAAGGAAACUAAAGUUUUAUAUAUGUCGUAAAUUAAAAAAAAAAAAGUAUAUUUUCAAAGCAACAAAAUCACAAAUUAUUAAAAAUAAACUUAAAAAAAUAAAUAAAACUGCGAAUGUGAAAGGGUUUAAUGUGUUGGCUCUAGUGGAAAAAGGCGAUGAUAUAUCUUCAGAACAAGAAUUAGAAGAAUCAAAAAACUCAGAAGAAUCAGACAGUUUUGAAGAAAUUGAAUUAUAUGGAAGUGACAAAAACACAGAAGAUAUGAACAGUUCUCAAUACACAUAUUCUUCUUUAGCAAUUACUGAAUAUGAGAAUUUAAGAUUUAAAGAUAUAUAUUAUAAUGAAAAUUCAUACGAGAAUAUAUUUAAUAUAAAAGACCCCAAAAUAAAUGUUACUUAUUUGUAUGACGUGGUUGAGUUUAUGCUUAUUCAUAACAAUCCGCAUAAAUUACCUGUAAUACAAGUGCUAUGGAUGGAACUGCUUGUUUUGAACCUAAAUUUUUACAAAUGUGUACGACAUAUAGAAGAAGAAUUUUUAGUGUACAGAUUCGAGAUAUACGAGAAUACAACGGUAAAGGUAGAAAAACAAAGUGAAGAAAAAUUUAAAAUGUUAUUAAAAUUGAAGGAUACAAACAAUAAUUCAAUUACAUGUUGUCUGGUAGGUAUUAAUGAAAAAAUGCAGUCAAUAUGUGAUAAUAUAAUACAAAGAGUUUUGUUAUUGAAAUAUAUAAAACAUUUACAAACAAAAAAUAUGGGUACUAUUUAUAAUGCUGCAAUGUUUUUUUUAUAUGAUAAAAAAUUAUUAGAUUUAAAAAAUGUAAAAUAUGAUGCAGAAGCAGAUUCUAUCAUACUUUCUUAUUCAGAAAAUAUAACAGAUGUACAUAGCAUUAAUUUAUCAAAUAGAAAAAUGAAUAUUUUACAAUUACAUGAGUUUUUAACAAAUUCAAAUAUUAAACAAUGUUUUACUCUAAACUUAACAAUGAAUCCAUUAUUUUUGGAGGAAACUGAAUUAAGUACAAUACAAAAUGAAAUAAAUGAAAUCAUUAACGUUUUAAAAAAUAUUAAUUUAAAUGAAAUUAUUUUAGAUUUUAUUAACUUAUCAAACACAUGUGGUGAAUAUUUUAUUUCUAAUUUAAUAUUAAACACUGAUCUCCUUUCUUUAAGUUUAUUAAAAUGUAAUUUAAAUUCUAGUAAUAUAACUAAUAUUACAAAUACGAUACUUGACAAAAGCAACCCUUCAAUGUUAUAUUCAAUAACACACUUAAAUGUCGAAUUCAACGAAUUAAUUUAUUCUGAUAUUAAAACACUUAUAAAAACAAUACAAAAAAUAAAUAAAAAUUUUAAAAAAUUAUAUAUUUAUGGUAAUUUAAUACAAACUGAUAUUUUUGAAAUUUCUUACUAUUUUAAACAAAGAAAAGCAAUUAUUGAAACAAAAAAAUAUUAUAAACAUGUAUUAAACAUUUUUCAUUUUAAUAAUAUUUAUAAAAUCAAGUUACAUGUUUCUUUUAGUUUAAGGGGUAUUGCUGAAUGGAUAAAAUCGGAUAAUAACGAGUUUUUGCUAUUUGAGUUGUACUUUAUUUAUUUAUACACAAUUAUACCCGAAAAGAAGGUCUACAUAAUUAAAGACGUUUCUUUUGCUAAAAAAGGAGAGUUGUUAAUAUUGAAUGUUCAUGCGUUAGAUGACAACAAAAAAGUAACUCUUCAAUUAAAUUUGUUUAAAAAUACUAUUAUGUUGCAAUUUUUAAAUAUUGUGAAAAAAGGGUAAUUUAAAAAAGAAAAACGAGCACAUUUUCGCAAAUUUACAUGUUCUUACUUUCACAUUUUCGCAAAUUUUCAUGUUCUUACUUUCNNNNNNNNNNUUUUCAUGUUCUUACUUUCACAUUUUCGCAAAUUUUCAUGUUCUUACAUUCACAUGCUUUAUUUUACUUUUUUACUCACAGAAUUUUCGCUGAAAAUUAUUAUUAUGAACAAACUAAUAAUAACAAAGAAAUAAAUAACAAUAUAUUAACCUAUUUUAUUGGGAA